rnacentral:rRNA from 1 species
AACGAACGCUGGCGGCAUGCCUAACACAUGCAAGUCGAACGAGACCUUCGGGUCUAGUGGCGCACGGGUGCGUAACGCGUGGGAACCUGCCCUUAGGUUAGGAAUAACUCCCCGAAAGGGGUGCUAAUACCGGAUAAUGUUAUCGGAGCAAAGAUUUAUCGCCCUUGGAUGGGCCCGCGUUGGAUUAGCUAGUUGGUAGGGUAAAAGCCUACCAAGGCGACGAUCCAUAGCUGGUCUGAGAGGAAGAUCAGCCACACUGGGACUAGGCCACGGCCCAGACUCCUAGGGGAGGCGGGAGUGGGUAAUAUUGGACAAUGGGCGAGAGCCUGAUCCAGCAAUGCCGCGUGAGUGAUGAAGGCCUUAGAGUAGUAAAGCUCUUUUACCCGGGAUGAUAAUGACAGUACCGGGAGAAUAAGCUCCGGCUAACUCCGUG